CGCCCCAAAACCCAAAUGUUUAUAUCGUCGUAUGUUCCUAUAGGACAUAACAUGAGAUAAAUAACUAGGCUAUUGAACCUAGUUAAAAGGUGUAGCUAAGAUUAAUAAAGGUAGUGUCAGUUAUGUUUUAAAAGGCAAACCCGAGGGACUAGAGUGGAACAAAUGAAAGUUGACUACUAAUUAAAAGGUCAAUACACACACAAACACACACAUACGUGCGUGUUCUUGAAGCUUCAGGAGCUCUCAAGAGCUCCAAACCCUAGUUCCACUAAAUCAUCAAAUUAAAGGGGUGAAUCGAAGCCCAAAUUCAAGAAGGAGCACGGAUUAACGAUCACCUUCAUGAGGGGAUCAUAAGGAAUCACAUUAGCAUGGAUUCAAGCAUGAAAGGCUAACGAGUCAAGAGGAGACAAGGAAGCGGCUACGAACACGGAUGCACAAGGUUAUACGGAUAAUGGGCGGAUUAUCACAAGAAUUAGAGAUCGAAGACCGAGUCACGAGAUAGAUUGUACGGGAAUAAUUAAGUAUGUACUAUUAGUAAACAUGACUUGUAUUUUAUCUUUGUAAAAGAUACAUUUUUAAAACG